GUCAGCUGAGUCUGUCUGUUGGGAAGUGGGCCCCUCCCAAGAGUUGAUACAUCUUAUAAAACCUCCUCUGGCCAGACAUUGCCAGUCCAUUGCUCUCUGUAGCUGGCCAGUUCCAGUUGAAGAGCUGAGUGAGUCUUCUAGUGGAGCCAGGGUUUGGUUCUCCUCAAUCCCCUUCCAGCUGAGGAUGUCUUCCGCCAAAGGCUUCUCCAAGGGGUCUUCCCAGGGGUCAGCUCCGUGCCCGGCUCCUGCACCCACUCCAGCUCCCUCCUCCUCCUCGUCUUGCUGUGGUGGCGGCUGCUGUGGUUCCAGUGGAGGCUGCUGUGGUUCCAGUGGCGGCUGCUGUGGCUCCAGCAACACUGGCUGCUGCUGCUUUCCCAGGAGGCGCAGGCAGCGCAGGAGCAGCGGCUGCUGUGGCUGCUGUGGGGGUGGCAGCCAGAGGUCUCAGAGCACUGGGCAGGGCUGCUGUGGAGGCUGCUGAGCCCAAGGCCCAGCCAGAGCUUCCCUCAGUCACAAGCCCCCUCCCUUAAAUCUAACCGCAUCUGGAUGCUCUGAACCUGCUCUGUCCUCAGCACCCAAGGACGGUGAUCUUCCCACCUGGAGAGUGCUUUGCACCUUCCUGGCUGCGGGAACCUAAAUGGAGGCUGGUUGGAUGAACUGUCCUGUGAAAACCUUACAAUAAAGCUUCUACCUCCUUAGAACACUC